rnacentral:lncRNA from 1 species
GCAUAUCUGUAAGUGCAAAUGUGUGAGAAAAUCAGUAGAAACUCCAUUAGAAUGAUAUCCGCCGGCUGUUUUCAAUCAAAUAAAAAAAACUCAACAUUUUAUUUCUGUUGAACAAAUAGGAAAGUACAUAAGGAAGAACAAAAAAGGAAGUAUCUCUACUUGGUGUGCUUACAAGAGCAAAAGCUUUAGCUCUUAAACGUGUACCGACGAUGAUGGUGGCGGCAACGAUGAUAGCGGUGGAGGAUUAGGUAACGGCGAUGAUGUUGGGUCCUACCUAUAGCGGAGGAGAGGUAGUUUGGUUAAAACCCUUUAUGGUUCUUGAAGGAAGAAAGCAAAAAAAAAAAAUGGGGUUUCCAAAAAUGCAAACCCUAAGGACCGUGGAGAGAAUUUGAAGGUAGAAAAAGGUGCGGGGUUUUAUUUUUUCUGUUUUUCAAAAUUUACAAAAAAAUCUUAUGCUUUGUUUGGUUGCAAAAUUUAUAAAAUUUUUGAGGAAUUUUGUGUUUGGUGUUUACUAAUUUGCAUGUUUAUAUAUCUUGCUUUGUAAAGAUUAGAGCUUUAUGCAGUAUGUGGAGUCAUCCUGCUAUAUUUUUCUUUAAAAGAAUUUUCAUUUUUUACUGUUUUUGUGUUGUGUUUUUGCUUCAAAUUAUUUGUCAUCACUAAUUUUUUUUUGCUGUUUGUUGCAAAAAUAGAUUAAAGAAUGUUAUUAAUUUAUUUAUUUUCACUAUUUAUUAGAGAGGGUAGUCUCUAAUAAUUAUACAUGUCACAAUGAAACAUAAUGUGACAUCAAAAUAACAUUGUCGUUUAAAAAUAUAUAUAGGUCGACCGUGUUUGUGAUGAUUCGUAAGGAUAAAAUAUAACUACCAAAUUUUACGUUGUCUUGAUAUUGUUCUAUAAAAGCAGGUGGUUAGUUCUAAAAAAAUAUAUGAAACAUCAAAAAACAUGAAAAAAAAAAAUCUAAAAAUCUCAAAAAAAGAAAGAUGAGAUUUAUCUUUGGUUGAGGAGUACAUUGUGGAUGAAUCCGUAGUCCUCUAUAUAUAGAGAAUAUAAUGCUUGUCCCUUAUCAUCUGUCGAUAGGAGUAAUCUGUAAAAUAAAAAUAAAAUCAAUACGAUUAGUAAAAUUUGUCUAGAUCCCCUCUCUAUCCACAUUUAGUUCCUUUUAAUACUAUAAAAUUGACACAAAAUUGUCAAUGAAUAUGCAAUAUGACCCAAAGGUUCAAGGUUCUUGCUAAACCUUUCAGUUAAUUCAGUUAGCAGCGAUAAAGGACAAAGAAACAAAAUCGCCUCUGAACAAUACCCUAAGAGCCGCACUCUCAAGUGUCCAUAGGCUGCAACUCUUCAGAGAAUAUCCGCAGAGACAAUUUGGAAUUUGACACUAAAAAAAAUUAUACCUUCUAAAAGUGACACGUCAAAUAUCGUGUGAAGAGGAAAAUGAAAAUCAUAUCCCUGAAACAAAAAUAAUUCAGAAAUACAACAGAAAGGAUUGUUAACAAAUGAACAUCAAACUGGUUUCAUCCAUAAAAAAAAGGCAGUUCGAUUUCUCUCGGAGAUUGUUUUCGGGGCUUGAACCCAUGACCUCCUAAUCACGUGACAAUAACUUUACCAGUUGCUCCCAGGCUCCCCUUCACCCAUCAAAGAAUAAUACAUUUACAAUCAUCUAUCGAUAGCUAGGUGACUGUCAAAUUUAAUUAUGUUUAAUUUCUUAGUGCUUUAAUUAUUUCAAAAAUUAUUUCUUUAUUAUUUUUAAUUUUCUUACGCACAUAGAAAGUUCAACAUAUAAAAUAAAAAUUUUCUUUCUUAACAAAAACAAAGAGAAUGGUUUCAACAAGGUAAGAAACAUCUUUAAAAGAUCAAAGACACUCAGAUAAUUUAAAAUUAUAAAAAUUACAAAAUAUAAAUACAAUUAAUAAGUUGAAUUAAGACUCUUUGAAGAAUAUUUUUAGCAAUCAAUGUUUUAAAAAAAUAUUUUAUAUAUUUAAUAAGAUAUUUUACAACUGCGCGAAGCACGGUCAAGUUCACUAGUAUAUAUAUAAAAGAGAAUUGUACUCCAUCCUAUGUGGCAUGUCUAAGAAGCCUCAAAUGUCAUUUAUCUUUUUUCUCCCUUUUUUUGAGCUUUUUAAAUUUUUUUAAUUUUUUGCUCUAUUUUUUUAAUGUUAUAAUAAUAAAUGACUCUAUAAUUGAUAUUCCGCAUACCAAUUACAUAGUUUUAUUGUUUCAAUCACCCAAAUUCCUUAUUUAUGAAGGAAAAAGAAUUGGAAAAGUCUUUAGCAAUUUCUAUUUUUUUUCUUUUUUUUUUAAUUUUUUAAUGUCUAAAUAUUUUGGUUAAUUCUUUAUUCUUCUUCAAUAAUUAGUGUGAUUAAUUUGUAUUAGCUUUAUUAACAAAAUGUAUAAACUUUCUAUCUCCCCACGUCAAAGAUGAUCACUAACUUAUUUUUUAACUUUUCAUCUUCUCCUCUAAUUAUUUAUACUUUUUGAUGACAUUCAACCCUUUUCUAUCAAUUGUGGAGGAGAAGUCAUUGCUUCCCUUUAUAGUCCCUAUAAAUUUUUAUCUAUUUAUGUUACGGAGAUUUUUCUUUUCGUAAGUAUCUUUUUUUCUUCUUAAUAUUUUAUACUUACGAGUUAUGGGAUAAUAAUUAUUGUUGUGCACGUUUGAUGUUUUCAGCUUUUCCGCAAAAUGCAUAUGAAUUGUAUUAUUUUAAAAUUUUGAUCUUAUUAAUUUUUUUAGUAUUGCGAUUAUGGGUUGUCAUGUUUUAAAUUUGAUCUUCUUUAUUUUUCUUUCAGGUAUAUGUAAACUCAAAGAAAGUAUUGAAGCAAACAAACA